rnacentral:rRNA from 1 species
UACGUAGGGUGCAAGCGUUGUCCGGAAUUAUUGGGCGUAAAGAGCUCGUAGGCGGCUUGUCACGUCGACUGUGAAAACCCGGGGCUCAACUCCGGGCCUGCAGUCGAUACGGGCUGGCUUGAGUGCGGUAGGGGGAGACUGGAAUUCCUGGUGUAGCGGUGAAAUGCGCAGAUAUCAGGAGGAACACCGGUGGCGAAGGCGGGUCUCUGGGCCGAUACUGACGCUGAGGUGCGAAAGCGUGGGGAGCAAACAGG